UACGUAGGGGGCUAGCGUUGUCCGGAAUCAUUGGGCGUAAAGCGCGUGUAGGCGGUCCGGUAAGUCCGCUGUGAAAGUCGAGGGCUCAACCCUCGAAUGCCGGUGGAUACUGUCGGGCUUGAGUACGGGAGAGGCGAGUGGAAUUCCUGGUGUAGCGGUGAAAUGCGCAGAUACCAGGAGGAACACCGAUUGCGAAGGCAGCUCGCUGGAACGUUACUGACGCUGAGACGCGAAAGCGUGGGGAGCAAACAGG
rnacentral:rRNA from 1 species